rnacentral:rRNA from 1 species
UGCCAGACUCCUACGGGAGGCAGCAGUCGGGAAUAUUGCGCAAUGGAGGAAACUCUGACGCAGUGACGCCGCGUAUAGGAAGAAGGUUUUCGGAUUGUAAACUAUUGUCGUGAGGGAAGAAAUUGACAGUACCUCAGGAGGAAGCUCCGGCUAACUAUGUGCCAGCAGCCGCGGUAAUACGUAGGGAGCAAGCGUUAUCCGGAUUUAUUGGGUGUAAAGGGUGCGUAGACGGGAAUUUAAGUUAGUUGUGAAAUCCCUCGGCUUAACUGAGGAACUGCAACUAAAACUGAAUUUCUUGAGUGCGGGAGAGGAAAGUGGAAUUCCUAGUGUAGCGGUGAAAUGCGUAGAUAUUAGGAGGAACACCAGUGGCGAAGGCGACUUUCUGGACCGUAACUGACGUUGAGGCACGAAAGUGUGGGUAUCGAACAGGAUUAGAUACCCUCGUA